rnacentral:lncRNA from 1 species
CUAUCAGGGGAUUCAAGAAAUAAAAAAACGUCAUAACUGCUUAGUAGAAACACUCUUCACAAUGCGGGCUGUGUACACAAAGAGGGUGCCAGUCUGGUGUCCUGGCGCAAUACCAUAGCAGGAGUAACUACAAGAGACUUGUUCGUCCAAAAUCAUUCAGGAUUUUUUUUUCCCCUUUGUUCAGUGACGUCAAAAAGUCUGCCUGUAUACAAAGACGUCGCAAUGAGUCACCUAUUUUGUGUUUCGCCAGAUCAGAACCUGAUGACAGCUGGUGUUUACUGAAACAUUGAUCAGAGUUAAUGAAUUGUUCUGGGGUACAGAGAUUUUUAACCGCUUUGUCCAAUACAGGGUCGCAGGGAAGCCGGAGCCUAUCCUAGCAAGCAACGUGCUCCAGAAACAUUGGGUACAUUUGAUGUCUUUCCUAGUGGUUGAAGCCACAGAAAUGACUGCUGGAUGAAAUGAAAUGCCCAACUGGACUGCCAAUCAUGCCAAUCAGGCCAGCAUGUUGGCCUGAAUGCAGGCCGGCCGACAACAGAGCUGAAGCGCAACACAAAGGAGCAGAACCGAGGGGGGGUUCUCUUCGAUAAUAAAAGGCAUUGUGAGCAAGCUGGCUUGGCAACUGCCGUGAUAAAUGGUGAUAGCAGGGAGAACUACGGAAAGAAACAUUCUCAGAAAAGGAAAGAAGAGAAUGCAAUUGUGGUGAAAAGGUGGAAGGAGUCUCUUUGGCCCAUCAUGCAUUCAGGAUUAUUAGUAACCUGAUCCACGAUUGCUCAGCAAGGCCUUGUCUGUUCAUCCCAGUGAGUCAGCAUUCAGAACAUGACGCCGCAGUGUGCUCUGCAACCCUUCUG